rnacentral:RNase_P_RNA from 1 species
GGCAAUCGAGCACACCUAGUGUGUGUUAGGAAAGUCCAUACUAGCACAAACUGAGAUGUUUGUAGUGAUUGUGCCUAACUAAAAAAUAAGUUAGGGCACCAGUAAUGGUGACGGCGAGUGAAACCUAAAAGUUAAUCUCAUGGUGUAGCUCCUAAGGUGCCACAGAGACGAGAUACUUUGGAAACAAAGUAGUGGAACGGGUAAACCCCUCAAGCUAGCAACCCAAAUUUUGGUAGGGGCAUGAUGUAGGGAGGAAAUGAACUCACUUAUAUUGCGGUAUAACCGAGAUAAAUGAUUGCCGACACGCAAGUGUUACAGAAUAUGGCUUAUAG